rnacentral:piRNA from 1 species
UACAAGAGUGAUUUGUGCUGCCUGCCCAGG